UGUCAGAUGACUGUGACCUCCCGACUCUUCCUCUUGAUGCAGUCCAGCGUCACACUCCUGGUUCCACUCCUGCACGCUCCAUCGCUCAGCUGAGGCGAAGCAGGAGAAGUUGAUGCAUCCAACGGUGAUUGAAGUGAUGGACUGGAAAGAUUGAAGGAAAUCUCCCUUCUCUGGUGCCUCAAUGACUCACUGCUGACUCUUGGCAGGGUGUAGGUCCCUGAGAAGCUCCAACAAUUCCUGCUUCUCCAGCUCCACCUCUGCCAACUCCUGUCUCCUUAGGCGCUCUGCUCCAAGAAGCGCACGCAUGUCCGCCAUCACACGGGACAACUGGCCCUGAAUAGCAAAAAUUGGGAGUUGUUAAAACCUUUUCUCAAAUCAAAUUAAAAUGUUGGUUUAUACAUACAGUAUAUAAACCACAUCUCCUUUCACUUCUAGCCUUGUUUUGUAUACUGGAGAACCAGAGUCCUCUACAGCGGACUUUUGAUUUUAGUCUUAUUUUGUCAGAGUUACUUCUGUUUUUAGAGACCUUCUGCAAAACACCUAGUCAAAGGAUCAUCCUAAUGAAAGCACUCUUAAGGCUUUUAGGAAUCUGCUGCAAAAAUGUGAGUCUCUCACACGUUUUAUGGAUUGAACUCGUUGGCCACCAGUUGAAUAGCCAAAGUCAUGAAAAAGAGAGGACCUAAAAUGGAACCUUGAGGACCACCACUAGUAUACCUGAAUAUACUGACUGCAUCUAGAGCAGUGUUUUUCAACCUUUUUUGAGCCAAGGCACAUUUUUUGCAUUGAAAAAAUCCGGAGGCACACCACGUGUCAUGUCUGUGUGAUCAUGUUUUGUUUUAGUUAUGUUCGGUUUUGUUUUUGGACUAUUUGUGCACUCUUGUUUUGUCACCAUGACGACCGAUUAGUUGCACCUGUUUUCACGUUCGGUCUCACACACCUGUUGUCAAUCAUGUCUGUAUUAUUUAAGUCCAUCGUUUUCAGUUAGUCUGCCUGGCGACAUCACACUUUAUGAUCACUCUUCUUCGUGCCAUGUUCACAGUUCCAUGCCAAGUAAGUUUUUGUUUCUUGUUCAUAGUUUUUUGCCUUUGUGCAAGUCUUUUGUUUUCAUUAGCCAAGUUUUGUACCUGCCCUGUGAGCGCUUUUCGUUUGUUCUUUUUUGAUAGUGUUAAAUAAAAUCAUGUACUCACA